rnacentral:rRNA from 1 species
AACGAACGCUGGCGGCAGGCUUAACACAUGCAAGUCGAACGCCCCGCAAGGGGAGUGGCAGACGGGUGAGUAACGCGUGGGAACAUACCCUUUUCUACGGAAUAGCUCUGGGAAACUGGAAUUUAUACCGUAUACGCCCUACGGGGGAAAGAUUUAUCGGGGAAGGAUUGGCCCGCGUUGGAUUAGCUAGUUGGUGGGGUAAAGGCCUACCAAGGCGACGAUCCAUAGCUGGUCUGAGAGGAUGAUCAGCCACAUUGGGACUGAGACACGGCCCAAACUCCUACGGGAGGCAGCAGUGGGGAAUAUUGGACAAUGGGCGCAAGCAUGAUCCAGCCAUGCCGCGUGAGUGAUGAAGGCCUUAGGGUUGUAAAGCUCUUUCACCGAUGAAGAUAAUGACGGUAGUCGGAGAAGAAGCCCCGGCUAACUUCGUG